rnacentral:lncRNA from 1 species
CAGAUGAAAUUCAAGCGCCUGUUGGAAGAGGAUGUGGCUUUUUCAUCGGCAACAAACUGUGGCAUAGAUGGCCAUGGCGUUGCUCUCUCAGACGAUGGUGCAGGGGCCGGGGUACUCGUCCUCGAUGGGGAUGUAGCACGGCUUCAUGUAUGGUGGCGGGCAUGGCGGGGGGCACGGCGGGGGGCAAGGCGGGGGGCACGGGGGGAGGCACGGCUUCGGGCACUGCGGACACGGCAAGGGGCAACAGCACUUCUUCUUCUUCUUCUCUUCUUCCUCCUUUUUCUUCUUCUC